AAAAUGGUGUGGGAGUCGCCACCUAGUAUUUUGGUCACUAGGAACCCUAACUGGUCUCAGAGAUCGGGCACGGGGACUGGUUGCGUAAAGGGAAGGUAUUAGCACCCCAAAUACGUCCUACCUAAGGUAAGCUGCAUUGUUUAUUUGUCUGAUAAAAUUCAAGGUCUCGUUGUGUUUCCUAGUUGUUGGUCCGUCUACGGUUCAAGAAAAGUCCUCCUCAAUAAGGAGGUCCUUAUCUUAUCGGGUAAAAACCUAACCGUUCUAAUGUUUAUGUAUGUUGGUCCGUCUAUGGUUCAAGAAAAGUCCUCCUCAAUAAGGAGGUCCUUAUCUUAUCGGGUAAAA
rnacentral:lncRNA from 1 species